CGUCCCUCCUUCAGAUGUCUUCCACGUCUCCUCCUCGCAGGCCUCUUUGGCACUUAUCUAGCGUCUUGUGGUAGGCGCGGGUGAUCAUCGAGCUUGGUGAUUUGCGUUGUGGCGCGAACGAGACCUUUCCAGGACUGCGCGGCGGUUGUCUGUAGAGAAAAAAAAAGAAAAGAAUCAGAAACAGAGCGUGAGACUGAGAAAGAACAAGAAAGCGUUGUUGCAUUGAUCCAUACUGGCGCAGGAGCUCAACUAAAUGAAAGACUGUAUAGAGGAACUAAAGGAGGCAAAGAAAAGAGACGGAGAGGAGAAACAACAUGAAGCAAAUCCGAGCUGAUUGAGAGCGGAGCAGCAGGGGAGAAUGGAGAAACAGAAGAAGCUGCUGGAGUGGAGGUGCUUGUGUCUGGUGUCAUAGUAACUCCAUUCAGUUCCUGAUCCAGGCUUCCACUUAAGAGCCCCUCAGCUAUUCUCACAUCGGAUGCAGCAUAUGCACAGUAGAGAAAUAAUGGCAACCUCUGAAGUAGCAUCUUACAACCUGGAAACAGCUGAUUUGGAUCCUGCAAUUAGGCAGCCUUGUGAUGAGCUGGCGACCUGUCCAGUUUGUACCCCGACUCUCACCCAAUGGGAUAGGCUCCGCCCCCAGGACCCCCAACAGGAUAAAGCAGGGGAAAGUGUCUGCAGCACCAGCGACAGGAACAGCCGCAACCUUCUAUCACCCCUUUUCAUCUCCUCCACCUCCCUCCCCCUCCUCCCUGCCUCCCUCCAUCCCUCCCUCCCUCCCUCCCUCCACCAGCCUCCAAGCUACAGAGUAAUGGAACUUCCUACACAGAAACAAGAUACGGCGUAUAAAUGGGAUGCAGAGAGAGAGAAGCUAUUUCUUCCUACUGAAAGUUAUGGGCCUGGUAUCGCAAAACUAUAGUCGUGGAAAACGCAGCCUCUCGUUCACUGGCAGGAGUAAUCACCCCAAACAAGGAGCAGGGGAGAAAAACACAGUGCUGACGAGGAAUACAUGAGAGCAGCGGUGGAGAGGUGGAAGGGGAAAAAAAAAAGAUGGGGGUGGUGGGUCAAAGAAGUGAGUGUCAGCGAGCCUUUUCUAUCUGAUGUUACGAGUCACUCAUUGAUUUAUAACAAGCCGCUGAAAUGUAUACAAACCAAACUGAGGUAGAAGAUUAAAGGAUUAAAAGGUCAACAUGCUCUCUCUGCUACUGCCCCUCGAAUGUUGACUUCAUUGUUUGUUUUAAAAAAAAAAAAAUGAAGAAUAUCUAGGUUUUCCAAAAACCUGAUUUGAAGCAAUUUUCACUCAGAUUUUCUCAAACUUAUUUUUUUUUCUCCACUGCUGCAAAAGGACACUGCUCACCAUAGUUUGCAGUAAGUAAAGGUCAUCUUGCUUCUGGUAACAAAAACGGAAGAGAAAUUUUCUGAUUUUGUGGUAGAGUUUCUCAAAGUAAGCAAAAAGACAAAAUGAACAAAAAAAAAAUAAGUAGACAAGCAUGGAAUUGUUGAACUCUCUUGGUUGCACUGCAAAUUGUAUUUUCAGAAUCCAUUUCUUGGCAUCAAUGUUGCACAGCAUUUUAAUCUAAUUUUCACCUUUUUUAAUGUACACCCAACUAACGCCUACAGAAAUGUCUUAUUGACAUCACUAUGAUUAUCAGUGUUUUUCAAUUCCACUCACAAAGGAAAAAGGGGCUACAAUUCUGGAAAACAAUUAUAUUAGUGCAUGAACACACCGUUUUACUUUGUCUAACAAAAAGGAAACUCCCAGAGCGGAUGUGUUAAGGUUACCACAUUUGUUACCUUUUUUUCCUUUUAAUCAUACAUUUUUAUCUAAUUGACUUCACUGAUAUAUAUUCAGAUCUGCUUAUUCUACUUCACCAUUGUUUUCAUUUAUUGAUUCGUAAAUGUCACAGAUGUGCUUGUUGUCAAACAUGAAUGUUCAGGCUUUCAUGAUUAAUCUGCAUAAUGGAUUAUUCUGAUGCUGCAUUCACACAAAUGGGACACCCUUUAUUUUCUACAAUUCUUUAACUAAAUGAUUUUCCUCCAUAUUACAAAAAUUACCUCAUAAUGAUGUCAGUCAUUUUUGUGACGCAUUCAGUCAUCGGUCGACUGAACUCAAGGCUACAGUUUUAGAAAAUGGCAGCUGCAGCAGAGUCUGUUUUUUCAAAGACCCAAGGCUUUUAAACAAAAAGGUAGUUUGUCCACUCUGAAAAGUUUUAAUGGCUACUGUAGCAGAUGCCGUGUGCUGUCUAUUCAUAAGUAGAAAGAGCCGUUGAACAUCUGUUUUUUUAAACUUUGUAGAUGCAAAAUAUAUUCCUAAAGCUCAGAACUCAAAAAUAAAAUGACGUUAAACGACACGGUAAUUCUAAUUUGUUGAAAAUGGCUCGCUUACAUAAAUCAGCUAAUCUGUAAAAUCGUUGAUAGAUUAAUCAAUAGAAAUAUAGUCAUAUGUGACAGCUCUAAUAUAUGUGAAAUAUCUGUAGACACAUACAUUUAAAAAAAAAAAGGUAUCACCUAAAUGAGGGGGCUGUACAAAUGUCAGAGGAUCUGAGAGUGAGGGGGCUGCAAUCCACACUCGAUGUGUUUUGGUGUGUUUUCCCAGGAUGCCAUAGCAGGCAGAGGCGAUCAGAAUGGCAUGACAGAGGGAAGUGCCUGAGACAGGCCUGGAUAAACAUGCUGAGGCAAGAUACUGAAAUUCUCCCACUUUGUGUGUUUCUCGCUCUCCUUGUACACACUGUCUUUUUUUUUCCAGUCUCGCUUUUUCAAUUUUCUUCUCUCACUCCCUCCUGCUUGUCUCUUCUUAAUCCCUCUUAUUACUGACAUUACCGCCAAUGUUUACUACAAAACGAUAGCCACUUGUGAUUUUCUAAACACCCAGGAAGCACAGGAAACAAUCUAAACAGUGAUGCUGAGUUUUAACUUUAAAUGGACACCAAAUCUCCAAGUCUUCACAUUUGGCAUGCAUGUAUACAAAUCCACGUUCCUCCUUGACAGUUUGUAUACAGAAUUUGAAAGCAAAGUGAGUUUAACUGACAGUCUGUUGAGAUAAACGGUAAUGAGGAGAGGUUUGGAGAGAGCAGGGUGGUCAUAACACAUGCAAUUGGUUUUGACAGCGCAGGGAUGUGGUUAAUCUGUCCAUGCCUCUAUCACCACUCUAUCUCGCUGGGUACCGUGAUGUGCAUGCUUGGCAAUACUGGUGGCCGAUCCAGAUAGUGAAUACAUCCAUUACUUCCUCCAAUGGCCUCACACAACUCUCCAUCCCUGGAUUUCACUUAACUUCCAGAUUUCCCCUCACAAAGAACUCGGCCGUGUACCUUCACUCAAGCUCAGGUUUUGGGUUGUGGACUUGGCCUGCCAUUCUUAGCAUUUCUCUCCCCCUUUAUUACAACAACCCUCCACUGGAUGCUCUUAUUGUCAGACAUACUGUGCAGCCAAUGCAGCCAAUUUCGCCGUCAUGUUUUCACAUGACAGCUUGGUCUGAGAGUUAUGCCUCUCGACUGCUUGAGCAAAAUGUAUUUUCAUGAGAGCAGGAAAUCGCUGCACGUGUUCAUAUACUAACGCUUAUUUUUAAAAAGGAGCAAAACUACUACUUUGCCAACUCAGUAGCGAAGCUUUGACAGGUUUCUACCAGGGACAUAGGUGAUGGUGUGUGUUGGGGUGCACAAAACUUGUCUGCACUAAAUGGACUUAAGGCUUUUCUUGAUUCUAUUCGUGUGAUAAUCUGGAAAAAAAAAAUGAAAAAAAAAUCCAUUGUUCUUCUUGACGCUUGGCUAACAUGUUAGACUUUUGAUUGAAAACAACAAGCCUGGCAGACUGUGGCUAGCAAAGAUUACUCAUUGGGCCCCUCAGGUUCAGAAAUCUCCUUAAAAUAUCUCUGCUGGACUCGAUUCCUCAGUCACGGAACAAUGCCUCUCAGCAUUCUGGGAUGCAGCAGAGGCACACACAGCCCAAAUGAACAGUUAUAUGAAAACAAUUUUGCGAUCGAUCAGUGCCUGAGGCAAAACUCCCAUUCAUGAUUGUCCUCUCAGCAGUCAAGUUUCAGGAGGCAUGCUUCAACCUAAGUAUAACCAUGAAAGAAAACAAACAUCCUUGAGAGUAAAUUCCUGAAACUAUAAAGCGUUACCCACCUGUUUGCCUACUGCUUGCAUUUACUUUACACUUUGACAUUAUCUCUGUACUUUGGCACAACUCUAGAGGAUACAGUGCAGCUUAGAAGGCUUGUGGUAUCCGGAUGUGCAGCACAUUAUGCGUGUACAGGGAGCAGCAGCAUUUCCACUACAUUUAACCACUAACUCUGAACUGAAUUUGGCAGUUAUUUCCUUGAUGGAUCAGUAGU